UGCCGAGUAGCAUAAUGUAGUGCAGAACCCUUUGAAGGUUUUGGUUGGGGGUUCAAGUCCCUCCUCGGCAACCA
rnacentral:tRNA from 1 species